rnacentral:rRNA from 1 species
UUUCCCGGUUGAUCCCGCCGGAGGUCACUGCUAUGGGAAUUCGACUAAGCCAUGCAAGUUGAGGGCACCCUUUUUAGGAGACCCAGCGAACUGCUCAGCAACACGUGGAUAAUCUGCCCACAGGACGGGGAUAAUCCACGGGAAAACUGGGAAUAAUACCCGAUAGAUCAUUGGUACUGGAAUGUCCUUUGAUCUAAAUGCUCUUUCUACGCCUGUGGAUGAGUCUGCGUCCGAUUAGGCUGUUGUUGGGGUAACGGCCCAACAAACCUACGAUCGGUACGGGUCGUGAGAGCGAUUGCCCGGAGAUGGGAUCUGAGAUAUGAUCCUAGGCCCUACGGGGUGCAGCAGGCGCGAAAACUUUACAAUGUGGGAAACCAUGAUAAGGGAAUUCCCAGUGUUCCUACAUAGUAGGAACUGUUUAGGUGUGUAAAAAGCACCUAAUAGAAAGGGCCGGGUAAGACCGGUGCCAGCCGCCGCGGUAAUACCGGUGGCUCGAGUGGUGGCCGCUAUUAUUGGGUCUAAAGGGUCCGUAGCCGGCUUGAUAAGUUACCUGGGAAAUCCGGUGGCCUAACCAUCGGGCGGCCAGGUAACACUAUCAGGCUCGGGACUAGGAGAGACCAGAGGUACUCAUGAGGUAGGAGUGAAAUCCUGUAAUCUUAUGAGGACCACCAGUGGUGAAGACGUCUGGUUAGAAUAGGUCCGACGGUGAGGGACGAAGGCUGGGGGCGCAAACCGGAUUAGAUACCCGGGUAGUCCCAGCAGUAAACGAUGCCAGCUAUGUGUUGCUGGAACCAUGGGUUCCAGCAGUGCCGAAGGGAAGCCGUGAAGCUGGCCACCUGGGAAGUACGGUCGCAAGGCUGAAACUUAAAGGAAUUGGCGGGGGAGUACCACAACCGGUGGAGCCUGCGGUUUAAUUGGAUUCAACGCCGGA